UACGUAGGGGGCAAGCGUUGUCCGGAAUCAUUGGGCGUAAAGCGCGUGUAGGCGGCUCGGUAAGUCCGCUGUGAAAGUCCAGGGCUCAACCCUGGGAUGCCGGUGGAUACUGUCGGGCUCGAGUCCGGAAGAGGAGUGUGGAAUUCCUGGUGUAGCGGUGAAAUGCGCAGAUAUCAGGAGGAACACCAAUGGCGAAGGCAGCACUCUGGGACGUGACUGACGCUGAGACGCGAAAGCGUGGGGAGCAAACAGG
rnacentral:rRNA from 1 species